AGAAGAAAGGAGAAAAGAGACGUUGUCCCAACCUCCACCCUUCAAAAGGCGGCCGGCGACGGGGCACCAUAGUCGCGACUCUCCUCGGAUCCCGAAAGGAAGUCGGGCUGCUGCCCCCCGACCCAAGCGCAGGCCGGGGGAGGGGCGCUCGUUAGCGGAGAAAAGGGCUGGGGGAGAAGGUCACAGACGCGACCGACGGACAGCAGCGGCGACUUGUCAAAGGGAAAGACGUAAGAGGCGGCGGCAGAGGCCGCAGGCGAGUCUCGCGGUAUUUCGGCGGAACUCUCGCGCAGCCUGGAUCCCCUGGUCCCGCCCCCAGGUCUUGAGCCGGAGGCGUGAGGAGUCGGGGGAGUAUCCGCGGAGCGAGGGUAAUGAGGGGGGAAAGCGUAGAGGAUUUAAUGGCUUGUGGUGAGGAGUCUAGGUUCUGAGGACCUCGCCGCCCAGCCGCCCUCAUUCUUCAAUCCUCGUGGAGUCCGGACACCCCCGUCCGCCCACCAGGACCGGGCUCCGCCUAUGAGGGACAGUUGGGGGCAUUUAACAGAGUGAGUGUGCUGCAGGACUGCCAGAACCCUGCAGAUGAGACUCCUUGAUUUUCUUUUCUGCUGAGGAACACGGAGUUUUCCACUUGAUUGAACCUCCUUCUGGCUGCCACAAAGAUAUUCUGUCAGCCUUGAUCUCCACUGUCUCCAUCUUGUGGGACCACCUCAGAUGUGAUGGGUAUCCAGGAGUCUAUUCUACCUACUACACCAUUGGGCUGUAUCCUUUCUCAUUGGUCCCAGAUAGAUCCAGAGACACUCAAAAAGAAAAGACUGGUAUUCUUCUGCAACACAGCUUGGCCCCAGUAUCAACUAGGGGACCAGGAGCAAUAGCCUCUUAAUGGAACUCUUAACCCUAACACCUUCAUUCAGCUUGACCUCUUCUGCAAACACCUGGGUAGACAGAUCCCAUAUAUUCAGGUUUUCUUCUAUCUUAGAAGCUGGGAGAAUCUCUGCAAUACUUGUAAGUUAGAUUUGUCCGUCCACCCUCUGCUUCUCUCCCUGCUUUACCCGCACCCCAGUACUCAGGAUCACCCAAGGGCAAACUUCACAGCUAACCUCACAGAGCCAUCAAGUACCAAGUCCCAAGUACUCAAAUUCACUCCCAAAGGCACCUGCUAAAGUUCUCCCACUAGUGGAAACAGCAGGCAGAGAAUUUGGCACUGUACUAGUCCAUAAACCUUUUUCACUAACAAUUAAAACAGCUUAAGGCUGAUCUUGGCAGCUAUAUUACCAAUCCAGAUAACUAUAUUGAUCAAUUCCAAUAUAUCAGCCUAGCUUAUGACCUCCCCUGGAAGAACGUCAUGAUACUCCUGGGACAGACUCUCUCUGACCCUGAACAAGAGAGUUAUUAAGCAAGCCCUUAAAUUUGCCAGUAGCCUCCAUUUGUCAGACACUAAAUUUCCCAUUGGGGAAACAGCUUAUUCCCUCUAUAGAUCCUAACUAGGGUUUUAAUGACAAAGAAGCGAUGUGGGACAGAAACCACUUCCUCCUUUCCAUAAAGACAGGGCUAAAAAACACCAGGCAGAAAGUUAUUAGCUAUUCAAAGGCUGCAGCCAUUAGUCAGGGGCUGGAGGAAAAUCCAAUUACUUUCUGAGAAAGCCUGUGAGACAACCUCACUGAAUAUACUAAUCUAGAUUUAGACUUAUAUGAAGGACAAGUAAUAGAGAGAUAAAUUCCUCUCUCAGUCAACAUCUGACAUCAGAAAAAAAUUACAAAAACAGAUCCAGAUAAACCCCAAUAGCAGUGUAGAUGAACUCCUGACUGGUCAGUACUGUGUUCCAUGGCCGUGAUCAGGAAGAGGCUGGGGCUCCGGAAAGGGAAACAAGAAAGGAGACCUGACAUACUCAGCUACUAGCCGCCCUUGCGGCCCAGUCUACUUCCAUGUCCACGGACUCGAAGAGAAUUCUAAGAAAGUAAGUAGGAGGAGGAUAUACUUAUCUGUUGGAGGACCAGGCACUGGGCAAAGAGUUGUCCUAGUAGCUACUGGAGCCACCCAUGGUCCUUGAGCUUCUUUUGCAGGAAUGAGGAGGCCCUGGCAGGUCAGCCCCAACCCAUGACAUCGACAUCACUGGACUAGAGCCAAGGGUAACCAUGGACAGUUUUGGCAGAUAGGACAGUUUUCUUUUUAAUUGACACCAGGGCCUCCUACUCUGUCCUCAAUUCCUAUUUGGACCCCUGUCCUCCCAAACUUGUAUGAUACUCAGAGUGACAGGAACUCCUACUACUCGAACCUUCACUCCGCCCCUAGAAUGCCCCCUCCAUAGCCAUUAUUUUUCACACCCAUUUUUAGUCAUGAAAGAAUGCCUCAUUUCCCUCCUGGGAUGAGACAUACUAGAAAAAUUGCACACCAGGAUGAUUUUCAGCUUUCCCCCGGCCAGUCAGGCUCCUCUUCAACUUCUGGUCAUUCCCAAAACCCCCUCAUCAGCUUUUCAAUACUGGGAAUAGUCUGUUGAUCCUGACAUUUGGGAUAAGGGAAUCCCAGGAAGGGCUAAAUAUGCCACCUCAGUACUCUAUUAGGAACCAUUCUACCUGACACCUCAUGGUUCAUGACCCCAAAUUUCAAGGAUGCCUUUUUCUGCAUCCCUUUAGAAAAACAAUCAAAAUCAUGAUUUGCUUUCGAAUGGACCACUCCAGAAAACAACUCUGGCCAACUAACUUGGACUGUUCUCCCCAAAGAAUUAAGAGACAGUCCUCAUCUAUUUGGACAAGCCUUAUCCCAAGACCUAGCCCACCAGCACCUAAACAGCGGGGCAUACUCAUACAAUAUAUAGAUGAUCUUUUCAUCUGUUCUCCCACAAAACAAGACUCCAUCAAUCAUACUAUUCAAACCCUUAAUUUCUUAACUGAGCAGGGGUAUAAAGUUUCAAGGGCCAAAGCUCAGUUAGUACAACAAAAGGUCAGUUACCUGGGAAUAAUCCUUACUCCAGGAAAGAAAGGCCUUUCUCCAGGCUGAAUUCACGCCAUUAUCUCACACUCCCAACCUACUACUUGCAAACAACUCUGGGCAUUCCUAGGACUGACAUGGUAUUGCAGAUGGUGAAUCUCAAAUUAUGGACUUAUUGCACAGUCUCUCUAUGAAGUCCUAAAAUGACUCUAAACCUUUAGACUAGGGACCACCACAGUAAAAAGCUGUCGAUCUGCUUAAGGACCUGUUGACACAGGCCCCUCCCAAACCCAGUCAGGCCAUUCCAACUACUCCCAUAAAAGACAAGGAGUAGCCCUUGGAGUUCUAACUCAAUAGCUAAGCCCAACUCAUCAACCUAUGGCCUAUUCGUCAAAAAGACUCAACCCCAUGGUGCAGGGAUAGCCUUCCUGUUUUAGAGCCAUUGGGGCCCUUACUCUCUUGCUAUAAGAAGCUUCAAACUAACCCUAGGGGUUCCCAUCCAGGUUUAUACCUCAUAAUAUUCCUGACCUACAAUACAAUUGAUUCUGAUGGCUGUCUGACAAUAGACUCCUUAAAUAUCAAGCCAUGCUGUUGGAAAACCUGAUACUACCAAAGCUACAUGCUCAACUCUAAAUCCAGCUACCUUGCUCCUCGACACCCAGGAAGAGCACAUAGAUUCAUGUAAAGAGGCACUCUGUUACAGAGUAUAAUACUUUCUUGCUUGCUUUCUUGACUUUGUUUUCACUCUGACUUCCCUGCAACUCUGAACCAAACUCCUUUUUAUCAUGUAUAUGGAGUCCUGUCAUUGUUGAUAGUGCUUUAGGAGCUGGAUAUUACAUGAAGCUUAAGACAAGGCCAGUAAGCUCCCAUGUCAUUCUCAUUUUAAGUUGCUGAUGAUGUAGUCAUCUGUGCCACUCACAAGCAUCCCACAACAGUCCAUUUUUCUUGGAUUUGUAAAAGUGUACUGCUUUUGGCCAUUCUCUUUCAAGAAAAGGACUCUUCUUAUUUUAAAGGCCAUUUGAAAGACUCCCUCCUUUGCCCUUUUCUUAGCUUCCACCCUCAGGGCAAUAUGGAAAGGAGAAUUGUAUGCAAUUCAGUCCAAUUGCAUACAAUUAUUAAAUGCAGAUAGUGUCAGCAAGUAAGCCCUGACUACUUUCCACUGUCAUCUUGACCACUCCAUAUCCUAAACACUCCUUAAUACUUCAGUCAACAUCUGCUGGAAUCAUUGUCAGCAUUAUCCUCUCAACUCUACAUUUCAUUUAUCCAGAUUACCCCUAGAGAAAAAUGUUGGAGAUGAGAGGCGAGGGAUAUGGGGAACUCAAGGUCAAGGCCUCAGCAUGGCAGGCCCUUGCCCUCAUAGUCCUCUGAGCAGCACACUCUGGCCAUACCACUCAGCUACAUGUUUUCCCACACAUACACAUCCCCCCGCCCCCCAUUUCUUGCCACAUAUUCCACAGUCCUGUAUCUCAGUCAGGAGGUCCCAAGCAGAGGAACUGGAAAAUUGAUGAAGAGUAUGUAAUUUUCAUCUUUCAUUUGCACAUAGGCAGUAUGUGUCUAUAUAAAUAAAAACGGCUAAGUCAGAAAUGAAAGGAGGCAGAACAGGGAGAAGGUUAAAAGGGUUCAGGGAAUGUUUGUUUUGCCUUUGGCUUAGAGUUCCCUAUGUUCAGAAAAGGGCUCCAGAGAAGUAGUCAACAAUUGGAAUAAACAAUUGUGAAUCCUGGUGUCUCCUUAAGUUGCAGCCUAUUUGCCCUUAGGUUACACAACUUUUCUGAACCUCUUUUCACAUCUGUAAAUAGGAAUGAUAAUGGGUUUCCUGUCUGCCUCAGAGUAUCAUGGGAGUCAAAAACAUAGGAAAGUACUUUGUGAGCCUAAUGCAUUAUAUAAAUGUGAGCGUAUUAUCAUUCAUUCAUUCAUUUAACAGAUCUUAGUUGAAUCUCUAUCAUAAACCAGGCACAUUUGCAAGGCACUGAGUAUACUAAGUUGAGCAAGCUUUAGUACCUGCCCCCAAGGAGUUUAUAGUCUAACGGAAGGAAAUAGAAAGGAGGGGAAAGAAUAGAUAAUGAUAAUACCAUGUGAAGAAAGUGAAAGUGACAAGGGUAUGCUGGGGAAGGAUAGAGAGCAAGAGGAAGGACAAAGCUGAAGCACUUCGUGGAAAGGAGAUUUAGAGGGAUAGCACAUGUAAUAGGGAUCCAGCCAUUUCAUGAAGAAUGAUUCAUAAAUCAACUCCAGAUUAACUUCAACAAAUUGCUUUGUUGUGGGUUGUGAAUUCUGCUUUAUUCUAAUAAAACUCACAUCUCCUAAACCAUUAGAAGAGUCUGUGAUGUGGAGGCAUUAUAUAUACCCAUUAGCUUUGAAGAAAGAUGAAAUUAACAGGAAAAAAAUCAGUGGUGUUGACAGGGACUGUGGGCUUAGAUAGAGUAGGCAAAGGGCCUCCGGAAAAAGCAAGGCAGGAUAUUUACAGUCAGAGCAAUGUAAUUACAUGCAAGGAAACCCCCUACCAAAACUGUGUUAA